rnacentral:lncRNA from 1 species
UAGAAACUGAGGCUCAAAAAAUUAAGGGACCCCUCUGAGUUCAUAAGCUGGUUUAGGACAGGGUCCAGCCUGGAAUCCAGGUGUCUUGACUUUUGUCCUGUGAUGACUUCCUCAGGCUCUUCAGUUGUCAGCUAAGGAAACUGACUCUGGCUAAUUUAAUCAACAAAGGGAUUCUUAGAAGGGUUUUAAGUUGUUCCCAGAAUUAAGGAGACUGCCACCCCAGGCUUUAAAAAGGGCAGGCUCUGGAUAUUUAGGUAACAAGUGUUAAUGAGCCAUUGUAAGGGCACCAGAGUCAGGAUGAAUUCACUCUGGUCCUUUUUCUUCAUUGUGUCACUCCACUCGACAGUCACAUUCCCAGGAGAAAAAAAAAUAUGAGAGUCUCAGUUUGGGUCUCAUUCUCACUCUUUAGAUAGUCAAAUAUUGGUCCUGCCAAUACUGUUGUGCGAUAGUGACUGAGUGAUUUCCCAAAUGGAAAUGGAUGUGCUGUUACCAUAAGAAGAGAAGCUGGAUGUCGGGAAGACAAAAACAACAGAUGUCCACACUACAUCAUAACACAUAGCCGGCAGGAGCUGUGCUUGAUGCCGAAACAUUGACCUCCCAAUAAGCCAAGUCUCCAGGUUGGUAUUCUAUGUUUUGUGAAGUUAUUAGGCAAUGGCUUCCUUUCCUGUUGGUUAUGCAAAUGUUCCCGUGUGAGAAUUCUCCCACGAAGGCCCAGGAAGCAGAGUGGAGGGCGUUCUGUGGUGUGAACGCUGCCAGCCGGUGCUGGAGCUCCAGCUUACUGCACAUUAUGUUGUGCUUGUUCCUGUUUGCCCAGGGGUCAGGUUGCUAUGAAUGUGGAAUUUUGUUUCCUCUCUCUCCAAAUGAAAUAGUCCGAAAAACAUAUUCUCAGCUGUUGAGAAGAAAGUCUGCAUAUUAUUCAUAUUUUCUUCUUGUUACUGAUGCUC